UUCUUAAAGAAUUAAUUUUAAGUUUAAUCUGCUCAAUGAAAUAAAUAGCCGCAAUAUAUUUGUGCUAAGGUAGCAUAAUCACUUGCCUUUUAAUUAAAGGAUAGAAUGAAAGAUUUAACAUUUAAAUUUCUUUUUAAAAAUUAUAUUUUAAAUUUAUAUUAAAUAUUAAAAUAUAUUUAUUUUUAAAAAAGACGAUAAGACCCUAUUGAACUUUACUUUAGUUUAGUUGGGGAAACUUAUUAAUAAAUAUUUUAAUAUAAAUAUUUUAUAAUUAAUCUAAUAUUAUUAAAUUUUUAAUUAAGUUACCAUAGGGAUAACAGCGCAAUUAAUUUUUAAAGUUCUUAUUUAAAAAAUAGUUUACGACCUCGAUGUUGAAUAUAAUUUCUAUAAAAUGCAAUAAUUUAAAAAGAAAGUCUGUUCGACUAAUAAAAUUAUACA
rnacentral:rRNA from 1 species